GUGACUGCGUACCUUUUGUAUAAUGGGUCAGCGACUUAUAUUCUGUAGCAAGGUUAACCGAAUAGGGGAGCCGAAGGGAAACCGAGUCUUAACUGGGCGUUAAGUUGCAGGGUAUAGACCCGAAACCCGGUGAUCUAGCCAUGGGCAGGUUGAAGGUUGGGUAACACUAACUGGAGGACCGAACCGACUAAUGUUGAAAAAUUAGCGGAUGACUUGUGGCUGGGGGUGAAAGGCCAAUCAAACCGGGAGAUAGCUGGUUCUCCCCGAAAGCUAUUUAGGUAGCGCCUCGUGAAUUCAUCUCCGGGGGUAGAGCACUGUUUCGGCAAGGGGGUCAUCCCGACU
rnacentral:rRNA from 1 species